rnacentral:rRNA from 1 species
CGGCGUGGAUAAGACAUGCAAGUCGAAGGGGAUAUUAUUUGUAGCAAUACAGGUAAUGUUCAGUGGCGCAAGGGUGCGUAACACGUGGGCAACCUGCCCUGAAGUGGGGGAUAGCCCGCCGAAAGGCGGAUUAAUACCGCAUAUGGCUACCGGAAACCUUUCUGGGACGCCAAAGCCGGGGCAACCUGGCGCUUUGGGAUGGGCCCGCGGCCUAUCAGCUAGUUGGUGAGGUAACGGCUCACCAAGGCGAUGACGGGUAGCUGGUCUGAGAGGACGACCAGCCACACUGGAACUGAGACACGGUCCAGACACCUACGGGUGGCAGCAGUCGAGAAUUUUUCUCAAUGGGGGAAACCCUGAAAGAGCGACGCCGCGUGGAGGAUGAAGGUCUUCGGACUGUAAACGCCUGUCAUUGGGAACAAGACUGCCGU